GAUGAACGCUGGCGGCGUGCUUAACACAUGCAAGUCGAACGGACUUUAUUUGAAGCCUAGCGAUAAUAAAGUUAGUGGCGGACGGGUGAGUAACGCGUGGGUAACCUGCCCUAUACUGGGGGACAACAGUUGGAAACGACUGCUAAUACCGCAUAAGCACACAGUAUCGCAUGAUACCGUGUGAAAAACUCCGGUGGUAUAGGAUGGACCCGCGUCUGAUUAGCUAGUUGGUGAGGUAACGGCCCACCAAGGCGACGAUCAGUAGCCGGCCUGAGAGGGUGAACGGCCACAUUGGGACCGAGACACGGCCCAA
rnacentral:rRNA from 1 species